rnacentral:rRNA from 1 species
AGAGUUUGAUCCUGGCUCAGGACGAACGCUGGCGGCAUGCCUAACACAUGCAAGUCGAACGGAGAUAUUUGGAAGCUUGCUUUUGGAUAUCUUAGUGGCGGACGGGCGAGUAACGCGUGAGCAACCUGGCCUUCAGUGUGGAACAACGUCUGGAAACGGGCGCUAAUACCGCAUGACGCAGUGGAAUCGCAUGGUUCUGCUGUCAAAGGAGCAAUCCGCUGAAGGAUGGGCUCGCGUCCGAUUAGCUAGAUGGUGAGGUAAGGGCUCACCAUGGCGAUGAUCGGUAGCCGAACUGAGAGGUUGAUCGGCCGCAUUGGGACUGAGACACGGCCCAGACUCCUACGGGAGGCAGCA